AUUGAACGCUGGCGGCAGGCCUAACACAUGCAAGUCGAGCGGAUGAAGGGAGCUUGCUCCUGGAUUCAGCGGCGGACGGGUGAGUAAUGCCUAGGAAUCUGCCUGGUAGUGGGGGAUAACGUCCGGAAACGGGCGCUAAUACCGCAUACGUCCUGAGGUAGAAAGUGGGGGAUCUUCGGACCUCACGCUAUCAGAUGAGCCUAGGUCGGAUUAGCUAGUUGGUGGGGUAAAGGCCUACCAAGGCGACGAUCCGUAACUGGUCUGAGAGGAUGAUCAGUCACACUGGAACUGAGACACGGUCCAGACGCCUACGGGAGGCAGCAGUGGGGAAUAUUGGACAAUGGGCGAAAGCCUGAUCCAGCAAUGCCGCGUGUGUGAAGAAGGUCUUCGGAUUGUAAAGCACUUUAAGUUGGGAGGAAGGGCAGUAAGUUAAUACCUUGCUGUUUUGACGUUACCAACAGAAUAAGCACCGGCUAACUUCGUG
rnacentral:rRNA from 1 species